ACUGUCUUCUAUAGUUGCUAACCUCUGUUUUCUUCCAGAUACUACAAGUUUCAUCUUCUCAGGUUCUGCCGUGCUUUGCGUCAGGGGAAGUUUUAAAAGAGACUUAUCAGAUAUUCCAGAUUCUUCAGAUACUACUGGUUUCAUCUUCUCAGGAUCUGCAGUGCUUACAUCGGGGGGAAGUUUUAAAAGACACUCGUCAGAUAUUCCAGAUUCUUCAGAUACUACUGGUUUCAUCUCAGGUUCUGCAGUGCUUACAUCGGGGGAAGUUGUAAAGAUGCCACGAAAAGGGAAGAGAUCUCAGGCUCAGAAAUUGCGAUGGAGAAAGGUAGACCUUCAAGAUGUUGAGACCACCCUUUCCAGCCAUAAAGAGGU
rnacentral:lncRNA from 1 species